UACAGAGGGUGCAAGCGUUGUUCGGAAUUACUGGGCGUAAAGGGCGCGUAGGCGGCCAGCGCAAGUCAGUUGUGAAAUCUCCGGGCUUAACUCGGAAAGGUCAACUGAUACUGCGCGGCUAGAGUGCAGAAGGGGCAACUGGAAUUCUCGGUGUAGCGGUGAAAUGCGUAGAUAUCGAGAGGAACACCUGCGGCGAAGGCGGGUUGCUGGGCUGACACUGACGCUGAUGCGCGAAAGCCAGGGGAGCGAACAGG
rnacentral:rRNA from 1 species